rnacentral:rRNA from 1 species
GUGGGGAAUAUUGGACAAUGGGCGCAAGCCUGAUCCAGCAAUGCCGCGUGGGUGAAGAAGGUCUUCGGAUCGUAAAGCCCUUUCGACAGGGACGAUGAUGACGGUACCUGUAGAAGAAGCCCCGGCUAACUUCGUGCCAGCAGCCGCGGUAAUACGAAGGGGGCUAGCGUUACUCGGAAUUACUGGGCGUAAAGGGCGCGUAGGCGGCUCUGUUAGUCAGGCGUGAAAUUCCUGGGCUUAACCUGGGGACUGCGCUUGAUACUGCAGGGCUUGAGGCCGAGAGAGGGUGGUGGAAUUCCCAGUGUAGAGGUGAAAUUCGUAGAUAUUGGGAAGAACACCGGUGGCGAAGGCGACUCACUGGCCCAAUACUGACGCUGAGGCGCGAAAGCGUGGGGAGCAAACAGGAUUAGAAACCCCGGUAGUCC